GGACACCCAUCUCCAUCGCAGCAGCCCGCGCCUCCUUGAGCGAGAGCGUUAAAGCGCUCAGAGGAUGUUAGGACGGGGUGGGUAGAAAACCUGACUCUUCGUGUCUUCUGCGUUGCACUGAGGUGGAUUUUUACUUUUGUCUUAUUUCAAGCAGAAGUUGCCGCCCUAACUUCCAAAUUUGGGGACUGAACAUCGUUCACCGAAUACACUUUGUGAUGAAAAACACAUACUUCUUGGAUUUGUGUUUCGGAAAACUGUGACAGUACCUGCUGAAGUUCACCGAUCUCAUGGCGUAAAUAAUCCUCCUUUCUGGCACCUGCUUGUUCUGUACGCUGCAAUGCAAGCCUAAGGUCCCCCACCUGUAGGAGGAGAAACAAUACAUUCACAAACAAUGUUUUAGGUGAUGAAGUACCUGCUGCCAGAGUUUCCCCUGAAACACACAAAGAAGAGUCUUUUACUUGUGAUUCAGUUGUUUCAGGAGUUCUUGACUGUCCAAUGUGCAAGGAUUCACGUAAGCUGCUUUUCACUUCUUCUUCUGGUCGUUGUGAUUUUGCUGGAGGUUUUGAUACCACUGGACUCUUCUGAAUGGUCUGGACAUCAGUUGGCGAGAGAAAGGCACUGAAGAAAUUUUCAGAUUCAUCGACCACAGUCCUCCGAACUGGCUUUGUGAUUGCUUUAGGAGAGGCUAUUGGUGGACUCUGAGGUUCAGUGUUUGAUUUCAACCCCCAGGUUGAAGUAUCCCAUCCGCCACUGACAGGGGAACUUAUUCCU
rnacentral:antisense_RNA from 1 species